rnacentral:rRNA from 1 species
AUUGAACGCUGGCGGCAGGCCUAACACAUGCAAGUCGAACGAGUGGCGGAAGGGUGAGUAAUGUCUGGGAAACUGCCCGAUGGAGGGGGGUAACUACUGGAAACGGUAGCUAAUACCGCAUACCAUCGGAUGUGCCAAGAGGUGAUGAGCUAGUAGGUGGGGUAACGGCUCACCUAGGCGACGCGCCCUAGCUGGUCUGAGAGGAUGACCAGCCACACGGUAACUGAGCCACGUGCCAUACGCCUACGGGAGGCAGCAGUGGGGAAUAUUGCACAAUGGGCGCAAGCCUGAUGCAGCCAUGCCGCGUGUAUGAAGAAGGCCUUCGGUUUGUAAAGUACUUUCAGCGAGGAGGCGUUACUCGCAGAAGAAGCACCGGCUAACUCCGUGCCAGCAGCCGCGGUAAUUC